AUUGAACGCUGGCGGCAGGCCUAACACAUGCAAGUCGAGCGAGCGGCGGACGGGUGAGUAAUGUCUGGGAAACUGCCUGAUGGAGGGGGAUAACUACUGGAAACGGUAGCUAAUACCGCAUACCAUCAGAUGUGCCCAGAUGGGAUUAGGUAGUAGGUGGGGUAACGGCUCACCGAGGCGACGAUCCCUAGCUGGGCGGAGAGGAUGAACAGCCACACGGGAACGUAGACAACGGCCAGACUCCGACGGGAGGCAGCAGGGGGGAAUAGGGCACAAUGGGCGCAAGCCUGAGGCAGCCAUGCCGCGUGUGUGAAGAAGGCCUUCGGGUUGUAAAGCACUUUCAGCGGGGAGGCGUUACCCGCAGAAGAAGCACCGGCUAACUCCGUGCCAGCCGCCGCGGUAAUAC
rnacentral:rRNA from 1 species